rnacentral:rRNA from 1 species
GAUGAACGCUAGCGGGAGGCCUAACACAUGCAAGCCGAGCGGUAGAGUUUCUUCGGAAACUUGAGAGCGGCGCACGGGUGCGUAACACGUGUGCAACCUACCUUUAUCUGGGGGAUAGCCUUUCGAAGGGAAGAUUAAUACCCCAUAAUAUAAUGAUUGGCAUCAAUUAUUAUUGAAAACUCCGGUGGAUAGAGAUGGGCACGCGCAAGAUUAGAUAGUUGGUGAGGUAACGGCUCACCAAGUCAAUGAUCUUUAGGGGUCCUGAGAGGGAGAUCCCCCACACUGGUACUGAGACACGGACCAGACUCCUACGGGAGGCAGCAGUGAGGAAUAUUGGACAAUGGGUGAGAGCCUGAUCCAGCCAUCCCGCGUGAAGGAUGACGGUCCUAUGGAUUGUAAACUUCUUUUGUACAGGGAUAAACCUACCCUCGUGAGGGUAGCUGAAGGUACUGUACGAAUAAGCACCGGCUAACUCCGUG